rnacentral:rRNA from 1 species
GAUGGAACGCUAGCGGGAGGCUUAACACAUGCAAGUCGAGGGGCAUCACGAGGUAGCAAUACUUUGGUGGCGACCGGCGCACGGGUGAGUAACACGUAUGCAACCUUCCCUGUACAGGGGGAUAACCCGGAGAAAUUCGGACUAAUACCCCAUGAUGAUAUUUAUGGGCAUCCAUUGAUAUUUAAAGCUCUGGCGGUACAGGAUGGGCAUGCGCGACAUUAGCUAGUUGGUAAGGUAACGGCUUACCAAGGCUACGAUGUUUAGGGGACCUGAGAGGGUUGUCCCCCACACUGGUACUGAGACACGGACCAGACUCCUACGGGAGGCAGCAGUGAGGAAUAUUGGUCAAUGGGCGCAAGCCUGAACCAGCCAUCCCGCGUGAAGGAAGAAUGCGCUACGCGUUGUAAACUUCUUUUCCAGGGGGAGAAUUUUCCUGUCGAGACAGGGAUUGACGGUACCCUGGGAAUAAGCAUCGGCUAACUCCGUG